UCGGGAAUUUUGGGCAAUGGGCGAAAGCCUGACCCAGCAACGCCGCGUGAAGGAUGAAGUAUUUCGGUAUGUAAACUUCGAAAGAAUGGGAAGAAUAAAUGACGGUACCAUUUAUAAGGUCCGGCUAACUACGUGCCAGCAGCCGCGGUAAUACGUAGGGACCAAGCGUUGUUCGGAUUUACUGGGCGUAAAGGGCGCGUAGGCGGCCCUACAAGUCACUUGUGAAAUCUCCGGGCUUAACUCGGAACGGCCAAGUGAAACUGUAGAGCUAGAGUGUGGAAGGGGCAAUCGGAAUUCUUGGUGUAGCGGUGAAAUGCGUAGAUAUCAAGAGGAACACCUGAGGUGAAGACGGGUUGCUGGGCCAACACUGACGCUGAGGCGCGAAAGCCAGGGGAGCAAACGGGAUUAGAUACCCUAGUAGUCCCUGAGCGGGCUGGCAAGGCGCAU
rnacentral:rRNA from 1 species